UACGAAGGGGGCUAGCGUUGCUCGGAAUGACUGGGCGUAAAGGGCGCGUAGGCGGUUUGUACAGUCAGGUGUGAAAUUCCCGGGCUCAACCUGGGGGCUGCACUUGAUACGUAGGAACUGGAGUGGGGAAGAGGGUCGUGGAAUUCCCAGUGUAGAGGUGAAAUUCGUAGAUAUUGGGAAGAACACCGGUGGCGAAGGCGGCGACCUGGUCCUUGACUGACGCUGAGGCGCGAAAGCGUGGGGAGCAAACCGG
rnacentral:rRNA from 1 species